rnacentral:rRNA from 1 species
UACAGAGGGGGGCAAGCGUUGUUCGGAAUUACUGGGCGUAAAGGGCGCGUAGGCGGCCUGUUAAGUCGAACGUGAAAUCCCCGGGCUCAACCCGGGAACUGCGUCCGAUACUGGCAGGCUUGAAUCCGGGAGAGGGAUGCGGAAUUCCAGGUGUAGCGGUGAAAUGCGUAGAUAUCUGGAGGAACACCGGUGGCGAAGGCGGCAUCCUGGACCGGCAUUGACGCUGAGGCGCGAAAGCCAGGGGAGCAAGCAGGG